rnacentral:rRNA from 1 species
GACGAACGCUGGCGGCGUGCCUAAUACAUGCAAGUAGAACGCUGAAGAGAGGAGCUUGCUCUUCUUGGAUGAGUUGCGAACGGGUGAGUAACGCGUAGGUAACCUGCCUUGUAGCGGGGGAUAACUAUUGGAAACGAUAGCUAAUACCGCAUAACAAUGGAUGACACAUGUCAUUUAUUUGAAAGGGGCAAUUGCUCCACUACAAGAUGGACCUGCGUUGUAUUAGCUAGUAGGUGAGGUAAUGGCUCACCUAGGCGACGAUACAUAGCCGACCUGAGAGGGUGAUCGGCCACACUGGGACGGAGACACGGCCCAGACUCCUACGGGAGGCAGCAGUAGGGAAUCUUCGGCAAUGGGGGCAACCCUGACCGAGCAACGCCGCGGGAGUGAAGAAGGUUUUCGGACCGUAAAGCUCGGUUGUAAGUCAAGAACGGGUGUGAGAGUGGAAAGUUCACACUGUGACGGUAGCUUACCAGAAAGGGACGGCUAACUACGUG